UGGGAACCCCAACAGGAAAAACACCCGCGAAACUUCGCAAGGGGGACAGAUCUGCUCUGUGUUCCAGAAUCGCCAGCUUCCUGCAGAUGUCCUGUGCCUCCCCGGCCCCGACAGACAUGCAUUGUCUCUCCCCCUCCCCCAACUCCUCUGCUGGCUUUCCAGGGUCUCCAGUUUGCUGACGGCGGACCUUGGGACUUGUCAGCUGCAUCAUCUCAUGAGCCAAUUCCUUGUAAUAAAUCACAUGAGCCAAUUCUUUAUAAGUCUCUCUCUAUAGAUGUGUAUACACACACACACACACACAUUCU